rnacentral:tRNA from 1 species
AGAAGAUUGGGUUAAUGGUAGACUAGUAGCCUUCAAAGUUAAAAGUGUUGGUUCGAUUCCAGCAUCUUCUG